UUGGGUUUUGAGAACUAGACUUGCCUGCUCUAUAAUUGGUAAGGACAGGGAAUAUAUACAAUUAACCACGCCCUGCAUUAUGCUGGAAGGAGUCAAACCUUUGCUGCACCUGGCACACAAUUAAAACAACUUGCCAGGUUUUACAUUAAAGUUAAAAGUGCUAGGAGUUACCAUUAUAGCAUGUAAUUGAAACUACUGGAAAUAGAUUCACUUGCGAGUUGUGUAAGAACAAUAAAAUGUGUCUUUAAUAAAAGGUUAUAAGAAGGCAUAAACAUGUAAAUUCUUGCCUAGGAUUAAAGGAUUGUUUGAAUUAGAAAAAAUAAAGCUAAAAGUUUGAACAAGUGUUGGAAGGAUUGUAAAAGUUAAUCUUGCAAAAUUCCAUGUGUGAACAUACUGACUAAAUUCAAAAGGAUAUUUUAUGGGUUUUCAGCAAAUUGAGCAUUGAAAUAAAAGCACAACAAGGUAUUCUUAAGGUGCUAAUCUGUUCCUUAGCAAAAUUUGUAAAGGAUUAUAAAAGGAUUUUUGCUUUUAAGUUUCUGAGUCAUAAUGUUGGCAAAAUGAGUCAUCAUUAUGGCAAUCUGGAAUUAUAUUUCAUAACAUCAAGUAUUUUAAAUAUUUAACAUGUUUAAUAGUCUUCCCAAAAUCAAACUUCAGUUUCAAAAUUGUCUUUCCUGAUGCCUGUUUUUUGUUUGUUUGUUUGUGACAGAGUCUCACUGUGUCAUCCAGGCUGGAGUGCAGUGACACAAACUCCGCUUACUGCAAGCUCCGCCUCCCAGGUUCAUGCCAUUCUCCUGCCUCAGCCUCCCAAUUAGCUGGGACUACAGGCACCCGCCAUCACGCCCGGCUAAUUUUUUUGUAUUUUUUAGUAGAGACUGGGUUUCACCAUGUUAGCCAGGAUGGUCUUGAUCUCCUGACCUCAUGAUCCGCCUACCUCAGCCUCCCAAAGUGCUGGGGUUACAGGCAUAAGCUACUGCGCCUGGCUGAUGCCUGGUUUUUUUAAUGGUUCAGAAGGCCCCUGGAACAUCCAGAAAAAAAGAGUCAAGGAAAUUUAUUUUGAACUAUUUAUGGCCUUUAAUAAUAAAGUAAGGUAUACUCCCAUCAACAAGAUUUGGAGCAUAUUUCUCUUUCCCUGCCUGGUUCCUCUAAAAUUUGGAAACUGUCUGCCAUUAAACUCCAAACAGUCAUGCAACCAGAGCCUCAGACAACAGCCCCUUCUGCUGGGGACCCUUAAGUAAGCUUCUGAGGGAGCUCUGACUGCCGUUUUCCCAAAACAGCACCCCCUGUCAGCAGGAAGCAAUUAAGGUCAGUCUUCGUCCUUAUCCUUAUCCUUAUUCUAAUGGCAGUUAGAUGUGCUUCUUUAGAGUGGGGGAAUGAUGUAGCCAAGUAAAUAGCGCCCCCUGGCAGAACCUCUGACCAGCCUGCCCACUGGGAGGAGUGCGCACUGGGAUGGAACCUUGGGAAGUUCACACCAUUUGCAGGGGGGAGGAACCUGGCCUCUCCUCAUCUGGGGUGGUAACCUGGGAUUCCGUCUGUGAGGUGGGAAGUCAGCCAGCGAGACUCUCACUUUGCUGAGUAUACCUGUUCCUCAUUUUUUCCUUUUCACCCAAUAAAUUCCUUUUCUCCCACCCUCCAAAUUGUCUGCGAGCCUAAUCUUUGAUGGUCAUGUGACAAGAACCUGGCUUUUAUCUGAACUAAGGAGAAAGUCCUACAACAUUAGGACAGUGCUGAGGGGAAAUGUGGGGUUAGAGCCCUCACACAGUCCCCACCAGGGUACUAUCUAGUGAAGCUGUGGCAAUGGGGCCACUGCCUCAAUAGCUAAGAAUGGUAGAGCCAUCAGUAGCUUGCACCCUGAGCCUAGAAAAGCUGCAGUCACUCAAAUCCAACAUGUGAGACCAGCCACAGGGACUGACCUGUGAAAAGUCCCAUAGGCAGAGCUGCCCAAGGCCUUGUGAGCCCACCCUUUGCACCAGUGUGUCCUGGAUGCAGAACAUGGAGUUAACAAGGUUAUUUUGGACAUUAAGAUUUAAUGUUUGCCCUGCUGUGUUUCAGACUUGCAUGGAGCCUGCUGCACCUUCCUUUUGGCCAAUUUCUCUCUUUUGGAAGGGGAAUGUUGACCCAAUGAUACUAUUAUACAAUGAUACUAUUUUUGGAAGUAAAUAACUUGUUUUUGAUCUUACAGGCUCAUGGGUAGAAGGAACUUACCCUGAGUCUCAAGUGAGGCUUUAGACUUUUGAGUUAAUGCUGAAAUGACUAAGACUUUGGGGGACUAUUGGAAAGGAAUGAUGCAUAUUGCAAUGUGAGGAGGACGUGAGAUUUGGGGGGCCAGGGAUUAAAUGAUAGAGUUGGGAUGUUUGUCCCCUCCAAAUCUCAUGUUGAAAUAUAAUCCCCAGUGUUGGAGGUGGGGCCUGGUGGGAGGUGUUUGGAUCGUGGGGGUGGAUUCUCAUGAAUGUCUUGAUGCCAUCCUCACAAUAAUCAGUGAGUUCUCGCUCUGUGAGUUCACACCAGAUCUGGUUAUUUAAAAGAGCCUGGAACUUCCUCUUCACUCUCUUGUUUCCUUUCCUACCACGUGAUACACAGCAUCCCCCUUCACCUUCUGCCAUGAUUGUAAGCUUCCUGAGGCCCUUACCAGAAGCAGAUGCUGGUGCCACACUUCCUGUACAACCUGCUGAGCCAUGAGCCAAAAUAAACCCCUUUUCUUUAUAAAUUACCCAGCCUCAGAUAUUCCUUUCUAGCAAUGCAAACAGACUAACACAAUAUAUAAAUAAAUGUAUAUUUGCAUACAUCUACCGCAAUGCUUGAAAUUAUGUGGAGUUUCCAUAUUACUAACAGAUCUUGUGGAUUAGAGUUGAAGAUAAAAACCUGGAUCGUUGUUCUACACUGAAUGUUACAAGCUAAGUUGAGCAAUUACUAAAGUGCCUCAUUUAUAAAACUAAUGACCUCUCUUGGCUAGCGUAUGAGUGCUUAGUGCAGUAACUCAAAACCUCUCUAGGUAUUUUAAACAGAUUUAAUAAGGGGAAUUAGGUGCUUUAAAAAAUCUUUGGAUAAACAAGCUCUGGGCUUUGACUCUAAGCUUCCAAGAAUAACCCCAGCAGAACAU
rnacentral:lncRNA from 1 species